UAAUACGGAGGGUGCGAGCGUUGUCCGGAAUCACUGGGCGUAAAGGGCGCGUAGGCGGCUCGUUAAGUGGCUGGUGAAAUCCCGGGGCUCAACUCCGGGGCUGCCGGUCAUACUGGCGAGCUGGAGCACGGUAGAGGCGGAUGGAAUUCCCGGUGUAGCGGUGGAAUGCGUAGAUAUCGGGAAGAAUACCGGUGGCGAAGGCGUUCCGCUGGGCCGUUGCUGACGCUGAGGCGCGACAGCGUGGGGAGCAAACAGGAUUAGAUACCCUGGUAGUCCACGCCGUAAACGAUGGACACUAGGCGUCGGGGGGAGCGACCCUCCCGGUGCCGUCGCUAACGCAGUAAGUGUCCCGCCUGGGGAGUACGGCCGCAAGGCUG
rnacentral:rRNA from 1 species